AGCGGCUUACAAGUUGUUGUUACCGGAGGAGUCUCACAUUCAUCAUGUUUUCCAUAUUUCUCAGCUUAAGAAGGCGUUGGGAAGCUCAGAGAUAGUACAAGCUUUGCCACCUGUUUUCUUGGAUCCUAGUGAUGGUCCUUUAGAACCAGCGGACAUCUUGGCUAAGCGCUAUAAUGGCCAGAGUGAGACAGAGUUGUUG
rnacentral:lncRNA from 1 species